rnacentral:lncRNA from 1 species
UGAGUGCCCAGCAGUGUGGCCUGAAUCUCCGUGGGGUUUAGGGAGACGAAAGGACCCCAGAUCGACGUCCCCUCGUUCCCACUUUGGGGAUCGGCGCUCUGGCUGUUUCGUGAAGGAGAGAGAGGAACUCAGAGUGGUUUUCCAGAUGGGAAUCACAUUGCUCUCUGUCCCUGAGAUCUUGCUGGAGACAGGGCUACUCAGUCCCUCUUUGCCAGGUAAUCUGUUCCAGAAGAAACAUGUGUCGUUCUGACUGAGCCCCUGCCUGUCUGUCACCUUAAGAGCCAGUCAAUUCAUAUGGUCCCCAUAUCAAAGUCUCCUGUGCCCAGAGAGAGGAUUUCAUUUCAACCAUCACCAUCACCACCAUCAUCAUCAUCAUCACCAAGAGGUGUUGUUGAAUUGAUAUUGGAAAAGCAGUUUCUAUUGAGCCCCCAAAUGAAGAGUGAGUGCAGAUGAAGAGGAGGCAGGACUCACAAGCCCUUGACCUUCAUUCCAGAUCUGUUAGCACCUACAGGACCCUGCACCAGGAUUUCAUCUGUACUAUCAGCUUCUUCAAAGAGAGAGAGGUUGUUGA